rnacentral:rRNA from 1 species
GACGAACGCUGGCGGCGUGCUUAACACAUGCAAGUCGAACGGAAAGGCCUCUUUCGGGGGGUACUCGAGUGGCGAACGGGUGAGUAACACGUGAGUAACCUGCCCUUGACUUUGGGAUAACUUCAGGAAACUGGGGCUAAUACCGGAUAGGAGCUCCUGCUGCAUGGUUGGGGUUGGAAAGUUUCGGCGGUUGGGGAUGGACUCGCGGCUUAUCAGCUUGUUGGUGGGGUAGUGGCUUACCAAGGCUUUGACGGGUAGCCGGCCUGAGAGGGUGACCGGCCACAUUGGGACUGAGAUACGGCCCAGACUCCUACGGGAGGCAGCAGUGGGGAAUAUUGCACAAUGGGUGGAAGCCUGAUGCAGCAACGCCGUGUGCGGGAUGACGGCCUUCGGGUUGUAAACCGCUUUCGCUCAUGACGAAGCUUUGUGUGACGGUAGUGGGUAAAGAAGCACCGGCUAACUACGUG